CAUAGCGGAGAAAGAAACUAACAAGGAUUCCCCUAGUAACGGCGAGUGAAGCGGGAAGAGCUCAAAUUUGAAAUCUGGCAGUCUUCGAUUGUCCGAGUUGUAAUCUAUAGAGGCGUUUUCCGUGCCGGACCGUGUCCAAGUCUCCUGGAAAGGAGUAUCAAAGAGGGUGAUAAUCCCGUACUUAACACGACCACCGGUGCUCUGUGAUACGUCUUCUACGAGUCGAGUUGUUUGGGAAUGCAGCUCAAAAUGGGUGGUGAAUUCCAUCUAAAGCUAAAUAUUGGCGAGAGACCGAUAGCGAACAAGUACCGUGAGGGAAAGAUGAAAAGCACUUUGGAAAGAGAGUUAAACAGUACGUGAAAUUGUUGAAAGGGAAACGAUUGAAGUCAGUCGUGUUCUUUGGAUUCAGCCAGUUCUGCUGGUCUACUUCCUUUGAACGGGUCAACAUCAGUUUUGUCCGGUGGAUAAAGGCAGUAGGAAUGUAGCUUCUCCGGAAGUGUUAUAGCCUAUUGUCACAUACACUGGGUGAGACUGAGGACUGCAGCUCGCCUUUAUGGCCGACCUUCGGGUACGUUCGAGCUUAGGAUGUAGA
rnacentral:rRNA from 1 species